rnacentral:rRNA from 1 species
CGCCUGUUUACCAAAAACAUCACCUCUAGCAUAACAAGUAUUAGAGGCAUUGCCUGCCCAGUGACUAAAGUUAAACGGCCGCGGUAUCCUGACCGUGCAAAGGUAGCAUAAUCACUUGUUCCUUAAUUAGGGACUAGAAUGAAUGGCUAAACGAGGGUUCAACUGUCUCUUACUUUCAAUCAGUGAAAUUGACCUUCCAGUGAAGAGGCUGGAAUACUACAAUAAGACGAGAAGACCCUAUGGAGCUUUAAUUUACUAGUUUAAUUUAUAUAAUAACAACCUAAUGGACCAAGACAAAAUAAAUAUAAACUAAAAAAUUUCGGUUGGGGUGACCUCGGAGAAUAGAAAAUCCUCCGAAUGAUUUUAACCUAGACCUACAAGUCAAAGUAAUAUUAAUAUCUUAUUGACCCAAUUAUUGAUCAACGGACCAAGUUACCCUAGGGAUAACAGCGCAAUCCUAUUUAAGAGUUCAUAUCGACAAUUAGGGUUUACGACCUCGAUGUUGGAUCAGGACAUCCCAAUGGUGCAGAAGCUAUUAAUGGUUCGUUUGUUCAACGAU